rnacentral:rRNA from 1 species
AGAAUUGAUCUGGUCAGAACGAACGCUGGCGGCAUGCCUAAUACAUGCAAGUCGAACGGAGAUAGCAAUAUCUUAGUGGCGAACGGGUGCGUAACACGUGAGCAACCUGCCUUAUACAUCGGAAUAACAGCUGGAAACGGCUGCUAAUACCGGAUAAGACCACACCAAGGCAUCUUGGAGAGGUCAAAGCGAAUUAGCGGUAUAAGAUGGGCUCGCGUCCAAUUAGCUAGUUGGUGGGGUAACGGCCUACCAAGGCAACGAUUGGUAGCCGACUUGAGAGAGUGAUCGGCCACACUGGAACUGAGACACGGUCCGGACUCCUACGGGAGGCAGCAGUAGGGAAUAUUGGGCAAUGGAGGAAAAACCUCUUACCCAGCAAUGCCGCGUGAAUGAUGAAGGUCUUAUGGAUUGUAAAGUUCUUUAAUUGGGGACGAAAGAAAUGACGGUACCCAAAGAAUAAGCCCCGGCUAACUAUGUGCCAGCCGCCGC